UGGGGAAUAUUGGUCAAUGGGCGCAAGCCUGAACCAGCGACGCCGCGUGAGUGAUGAAGGCCUUCGGGUUGUAAAGCUCUGUGGGGAGGGACGAAAACGCCGGGCGCGAAUAGCUCCCGGCCUUGACGGUACCUCCUUAGCAAGCACCGGCUAACUCUGUGCCAGCAGCCGCGGUAAGACAGAGGGUGCAAACGUUGCUCGGAAUUACUGGGCGUAAAGCGCGUGUAGGCGGACGUGUAAGUCAGGUGUGAAAUCCCCGGGCUCAACCCGGGAACUGCACUUGAAACUGCGCGUCUUGAGUGCUGGAGAGGGUAGUGGAAUUCCUGGUGUAGAGGUGAAAUUCGUAGAUAUCAGGAGGAACACCGGUGGCGAAGGCGGCUACCUGGACAGUUACUGACGCUGAGACGCGAAAGCGUGGGGAGCAAACAG
rnacentral:rRNA from 1 species